rnacentral:rRNA from 1 species
AUUGAACGCUGGCGGCAGGCCUAACACAUGCAAGUCGAGCGGUAGCACAGAGAGCUUGCUCUCGGGUGACGAGCGGCGGACGGGUGAGUAAUGUCUGGGAAACUGCCUGAUGGAGGGGGAUAACUACUGGAAACGGUAGCUAAUACCGCAUAACGUCGCAAGACCAAAGUGGGGGACCUUCGGGCCUCAUGCCAUCAGAUGUGCCCAGAUGGGAUUAGCUAGUAGGUGGGGUAACGGCUCACCUAGGCGACGAUCCCUAGCUGGUCUGAGAGGAUGACCAGGCACACUGGAACUGAGACACGGUCCAGACUCCUACGGGAGGCAGCGGUGGGGAAUAUUGCACAAUGGGCGCAAGCCUGAUGCAGCCAUGCCGCGUGUGUGAAGAAGGCCUUCGGGUUGUAAAGCACUUUCAGCGGGGAGGAAGGCGGUGAGGUUAAUAACCUCAUCGAUUGACGUUACCCGCAGAAGAAGCACCGGCUAACUCCGUGCCAGCAGCCGCAGUAACAC